AGGGAGAGCGAGAGAGAAAGAGAGGGUUGAAUCCAGACAUGUUGAAUCGUAAGAGGUUGAUUAGAAUCAAGCUCUGUGUGCAGAUCUGAAGACUUUGUGAUUUUAGGUUUAACGAUUCAAGGAUGGAUGAAGAAGAUUGAGAAAAGAUGGCCGAAUGAUGGAGAAGAUGGAGAAGAUUAAUCUCUGUAGAAAAACAAUCAAUGACCACAAAUCAUUGACCAAUAAAGAGAAAGUAAUAGGAUUAACUAAAAUUAACUUCUAACCUUUGGAAUAAAACCAAUCAGUGGUCGAAAAUUAAUCAAUCCAAAACUAUUUUUAUUAAUAAUUAUUUUAGAAAUUAUAAUUUAUUGUUUAAAUAAUUUUAUUUAUAUAAAAAAUAAAUUAUAUUCAAAUUAUUGAUUACAUUUAUUUUGUAUUUAAAAUUUAGUUUUAAAAUAUAAGUUUAGAGUAUAUGUAAUAUGAUUUAGGGUAUAUGAUUUUUGUUAUGGUAUAUAUUUAAGUUUAGGGUUAGAGAAUUGGAUUUGAGAUUUGAAAUUAAAAUUAAUUUUUUUAAAUUAAUAAAAAAAUAGAAUUUUAAGAAUUUUAGUUAGAGUUUAGGGGAUGUGAUUAAUUUAGGGUAUGAUAUAUAUAAGUGUAUAAUUUAGUGUUUGAGGCUUAGAUUAAUGUUUGAAAUUAAAAAUUUAAAAGGUUAAAACUUGAAUAUAUUUAAACUUAAGAUUUAUAAUUAAAAUAAGAAAAUUUUUGAGUUUUAGGGUUGUGUUUUAAGUUUAUGGUCUAAGAUUUAGGGUUUAUCUUGUGUUUAGUUUUUUUUUGGAGGGUUGAGAAACGAAAUGGAAUAAGAGGGAAGUGAAAAACGAGGAUGAGAAGGAAAAUAAAAAAAGAUUAGACACUUGUUUUUUCACUAAGUAUCUGGCGGGAAAAAUAAAUUAUGUGUUGUGUCAAUUUACAAUAGUAGUUAAUUUUGGAUCUGCAAUGGUUAGGCGUUUACACUUUGCAAAUUAACGCGGCUAAUUUUUUUAUUUUCCCGCGAUAACAAACAUAGCGUUUAAAUUUUAUAAGCGCUAUUAUAAAGGUCAGUGUUGGUAUACAAUAGCAUAAAUGUUAAAAACACUAUACUACUAUGCUAUUAAUACAUACAUUUCCUGUAGUGAAAUUAUCAUCUUAAAUAUCUCCUACUAAUUAUUUAUAUUAAAAUUUUGCCUACACAUAGAAUUAUUUAAUAUAAAGGUUUGUUAUACUGUAGAAGCCAACGUUUGACAAAUGUAGAAUCCUACUAACUCAAUCGUUGUAUUCUAAGGAUAUCGUUGCACACAAUCACUACCAAAUACUUAGUGUGGGUUCUAGGAUCCACUUUUUGGCGCCGUCUGUGGGGAAGAUAAACGAAAAACAUCCUUGCUAAGAAUCUGAUCUAAGGUUCCUAAGAAAGAUCAUGGAUUCCACUCAAAUCCCAUCCGGUUCCCCCGAACCAAGAACAAUCGACGUCGAUCCCACUGGAUCUAACUCGGGAAACAAACACGAACUACUGAGCAGACAAACCAGACCACAGCAACCAAGGUAGCCCAAACGCAACGAACCCCUCCUCUUGCGGGGACAACGGGAACCUCAAUCCCAGAUCGAACUAACACGCAAGUUUUGAAUCAAUCCAGAGACGUACAGCCCAUGGAUGUACGACCACUCGAAAUAUAUCAACGCGACCGAUCUCUCCGACACCCCUGGCGCAGACCCGAGAAGGGAUGACCAAACUCCAAGGAAUGGUUUCAACGCUUAUCAACAAAUCACGAAACUAGUAGAUCGUUUAUCAAACCAUAGCGAAUCGACUGGAGCAAAGCGAAAGAGAACUCGCUGCACAUCGGCCGAAGCUAUUGAGAGAUCUAGAAACCGGCCAGAUCCGGUAAACCAAACCCCGAUCUCUCAAAGAAAAACCACAUGAGUUUUUGGAACGCCAGAAUUCCCCAGUUCUCGAUCCGCCCGCUACAAAGGAGAGAGCUCACGACAGACUACACAGCCCAGAACAGCCUACCGAAGCCUGUACUACAGUGGGCUUGACGAAGUACAGACCAGAGCUCAUGGGUUACUUGACCUCCCGAACCAAACUUAGGACAGAUCAAUUGAAACGCUCGGGGAAACACGAUCUCGGGGGCCCCCUACAAAUUUUAGAUCCCUGAGAGUCAAUCUCCGACAGCUCGAAACAUGAAUGGAACUCGACAAGCUGAGUUCGCUAAUGUCGCAGAACGAACCGAAGGUCGCUUUCCGCACCAAUUCGUCGAUGCAAGCCAGCAGAGGGAGGAACCAAGAAACCUAGACGAAACAGAAGCCUUCCCGAAUUAUAUUGAAAGGAACAACGCCGAACUGAUCAGAAGAAUACACGCUAUCAUGCAUAUGGCAACGAGCUUAGCUACAGACAUCGACGGGAUAAUAGAGGAAACCAGGAGAACCCCCUUCAUGAAUAUGAUAGACAGCAUAAGGUUGCACGACGUGCGGAAGAUCAAGUUCCCUGAGUAUUCCAGAAAUAUUGAUCCGAAAGCCCACGUUCGAGCCUUCCGACUCGCUAUAUCCAGGGUGCACCUAAACGAUGACGAAAAAUAAGCGGAUUACUACCGAUUAUUCACAGAAAAUCUCACCGGCUCCGCCUUGGAAUGGUUUGCGGGCCUCAGAGGAAACUCAAUCGGUAAUUUCACCCAACUCGUAUCGGCCUUCCUCAAAAAAUAUUCAGUGUUCAUAAAAACAAGAGCCACCGAAGCUGAUCUUUGGACUCUCAGGCAAGCACCAUUCAAUCCUCUGAGAACAUACAUCAACAAGGCCAAGAUUUCACACUUGAACGAAGGCUUUGCCCUAGAACUAGCAGCCUUGAAAAACGACGUUUGGUUCUCAUCCAAAUUCAAAGAAGAAAUGGCGGUACGAGCUCCUACCUCACUCGAAGACGCACUUCAUCGGGCUUCGUAUUUCGCAGCACACGAGGAAGAAGUCGCCGCUCUGAAAAAACAGUAUAGCGCAAACAAAAACAACAUCAGCAAAAAAAUGUUUGCCACCAAAGAACCGGCUACCGGAGGUCAACUGAAGAAUGUCAAGCUGUACUCCGAGGCAAAGAGGAAAACAUGAAAAAUAACGAAAAUUCUGAAAAAGAAGAAGCAACAGCAACCCCGAAGGAGAACAGAAAGACGAAUAUUACCUCCAACAAAAGAAGUAGUAAAACCAAAGAGGAGUCACCAAGCUCGCCUCCACCGGUGCACAAAAAGAGGGUCUGCAUAAUCACCUGGGGAAAUGUGCACGAUGACCCCGAGCCAAUUUCCAACGAGCCCGAACUCAAAUCGCAAAGCGAUCAAACUAUUUGCAUCACCAUCACGGCUAGUGAGGAUUCCACUAGUAUAAUGUGGGCACAGAAAAAAUAUAAUGAGAUAAGACUAGUGAGGAUUCCACUAGUAUAGGUAGCAAAACUUACUCAUUACAUGCAUAGGAAUUGAACAUCAAAUGAGUUUGAGGACUUUUACUCCAAAAGCAAUCCCUAAAAAUGUACCAAGGGCGAUCCCAAAUAUUCGAACAACAAUUCCAGGGAAUAUCUAUGAACUCCAUCCUUAUUCUGUGUCCAUUCCUGCAGCAGUCGUGGGGCCUCCAACAUUUCCGAAAAGAAAAAGCCUUGUAGCUAUCUUCAGCAGUUUUCCUAUUCCCCCUAACACCCCAAGAUGUGUCACAAUUUGUAACAAACCAAAUAUAAUACUUGGUCGUUUUUCUAUUACUCUCCGUAUGUUUCCACUUGCUCCCAACACUGCAAACACACGUGUUUUCCAUAUAUUCUGCUCUAUGAUUGCUCUAUGAUUUUAUCAACCAUGCAAAAAUGCUGGAAAAUACAACUCUUGAAGCAUAGCCUGCAUCUGAACUACAGCCAUGCUUCUCCAGCUGGCACGAGAUGGUCAAUGGUCAAAUCAAGAAGGAAAAGUAGUAGCUAAAACAGACCUAUGACAGUUAUUGCUGGUAAGUUACCAAAAUACUUUGCGAUAACAUUUUCACCUUUGUAUAUAGCUAAAUACAACUAUUCCAGCGGUCAUUUGUAAGUGUAUCAUCACACCGUCUAGCCAUUGUAAAAGUAAAAAAUCAUGUUUAAAGAUUAUGCUGAAUUAAACACAACUUGAUAUAUUUAAUCUUGAUGGCACAGAACAACAAACCGCAUAUUGGAAGUUUCAAGCUCUGAUAGUUUUCAUUCCUUUUAUAAUCUUGGGUAUGCAAGGAAUCACUCUAAGGAUCCAACUUGGUCUACGCAAUAUGUAUGUUAUUACUGUUGUCUCGAAGAGGCAUACACCAAGAAAGGCAAGAAAAGUUUUUGGAUUAACAAUGGAUUGAUCAACAUUAGUGGUAUAUCCAGUCAUCACUUCUAGAAAAGACGCCAUCGUUCAGGGAUAGGGUAUUUUAUGUUAUCUUAUUUUGUCCAUAAGAUUUGUAUACAAGGACUCUUCCUCACCACAUAUUUUCAAUUUGAUUGUGCAGUAAACAUUGUUGUAUGUGACCUAAUACGAUGAUCUCAAAGAUGCAAUUUAUUCAAGAAAAUGGACAAAAGGUACAUAAUUAGCUAGUAACUCGAUAACGAAAGCACAAAAGAAAAAACUGGUGAAAUCAUUCGAUGUUUAUCGUUUGAACAACGUCAAGGGAUCAAAAUAAAGAAAUUCUCUAUAUAUCUCUUUUUAGUUGAUUUUCACAAAAAUAGCUUUUGACAAAGAAAAUGGCCAAAAUAAAUUUUAUUUUGACGCAGACAUUUCCUUACUUUACUUCCGAAAUAAAAUACACCGGUGACUAUAAGAAGCAUGUGAACAAGAUCGCUUACGCAGCCAGCGACUACAGGAACAAUCACUGAAGAAGAAAUAAAGCCUCUUGGAGUGGGAGAGUUUGCAAGACGCACCGACGUUAGAGGAUGUGACGGAGAUACAUUUUUUAUAUCUAUUGAAAGGUUUUGCCUUGACUAUAUCUCUUCGGCUUGCAGAUUUACCGGAGAGUUAAUGAGUAUGGCAAUUAGUCAGAGCAUCAGAUGAUGGUUAAAUCGCAGCGGUAUGUCAGUCUCUGUCGAGCGGAUUCACAGGGAACUGUUGCUUGAUGCUGAAUUGGUGAAGGUAAGUUGUCACCAAGAAUUUUCGGGAAUGCAGUGAAAUGAAUCUCAUGUGCAUGAUCAGUUUGCAAGAUUACCACUAAGAUGGAUGCGCUAGAGAACGUUCUUAGCCAAGCUCAUGAACAGGCAAGCUGGGUUGUAAAUUUUUUCCAUAAUAUUUUAUCUAUAAUAAUGAUAUUGUUUCCUGGCUUCUCUUAAUAAUUCUUCAUAAUUCACUUAGCAACUGCACCAUUUUCCUCCUUGAUAAAGUGACACACGAGAGCUUUAUUAGCCUUACAUGUAUGUGUGCUUACUAUGGACUAAUAACUUUUAUGAUGUGUUAGAUUUUGUGAGUAACUGAGCCAUUGAAGAUGCUUUGUGCGUGCAAGGUAUGUGGCGGAUGCUGAUCUCCUUCUCCCAGCUUUAAUAGAAGAAAAAAAGGGAUAUCAAGGAUGGUGUACUGUUUUUUGUGUAAGAAUUGUAGAUAUCAGUGAUGGUAAUGAAGUACAAGACUGCUGAUAUUUAUCAUAUUCGGUCUCUAUGUUUUAGUCUAAUGUAUUCGGUAGGAUAGUUCACAUCAAGAGGAAAAAAUAAACUAAUUGUUGUGCUUACUUCUAAAUAAGAUAUUGAUAGUCACUUCUCGAUCUAAUAAUGUGCAAAUCAAAUUUUACGCUUGAUGUCAUCAAGUUCAAUCAAAUUGUUUUCCAAAAAGUCAAUCAAAUUCAUCUUUUUUUCAAUUAUCUUUAGAGCAUUUUCAUAGUUAACAAAUUUAAGGCUUGCAGAAAAUUAUGAUGUUCUUUUAAACUAAAAUAACAUAAAUAAAAUAUAAUAUAUUUUAAGCAAAUAAAUAAUAGGUAAAUAUAAAUAUUAGUUCACCGUGUAUCUUUAUCUAGAUACUAGUGUUAUCACCCAUGCUCCGCAUGGGUCAAUUUUUGUUUGCAUUAAUAUUAUUUUGUUUUAACCAAAUUCUAGUAUUCGGUUUUUUAAUACACAUUUUAAAAUCAAAUAUUAUCUUAGUCCCAUUUUGUAACUGGAUAAAUUGGAAACUUUAAGUUAGACGGUAAAACAAUUAUUACAAGUUUUCCCAAAAAGAGAUACAUGUUUGGAAACAACUUUUAUAGAAAAAAUAACAAUUUGUAAAUAACAACACAUAAUAUAUAGUUACUAUAUUUUGAUCCAUUACUAUUAUUUGUAUUUUGGUUUGAAAUAAGUUU